UACGUAGGGGGCAAGCGUUAUCCGGAAUAACUGGGCGUAAAGGGUGCGCAGGUGGUUUAACAAGUUAGUGGUGAAAGGCAUAGGCUCAACCAAUGUAAGCCAUUAAAACUGUUUAACUUGAGUGCAGGAGAGGAAAGUGGAAUUCCUAGUGUAGCGGUGAAAUGCGUAGAUAUUAGGAGGAAUACCAGUGGCGAAGGCGACUUUCUGGACUGCAACUGACACUGAGGCACGAAAGCGUGGGGAGCAAACAGG
rnacentral:rRNA from 2 species